AAUAAAAUCCUAUCAGUUUUACGUGAAAAACAGAAGUAUCAAUCUAAGCUUGCGUAAGAUCGCUCGUGGACAUGCUCCAUUAUUAAGUAAACGUAAACUGUGAAAAGUGGGCCGCUUGGAAAGGGAGUCAAUGCCGUGCGAGAGACGGUAGGCUUUUUUUUUUCUCUACAAUAUUCUCUCAUCUUUUAUUAAACUGAAGAUGGAAUUUAAAUAUCAAGCUUUUUGUAAUAUAAGGACAUUUAAUAACAUAGAUCACCCUUUCCAUUUUUUAUCUAUAAACAAUGGGUAACGCGUUAAUUAAGAAAGUAGUAAUCUUAAACACCAUUCAAGCGCGUCUUUUGCAAGGACGACGAGACCGGCUGCGGUUCCGCGUGGUGCAUUUGAUCAGGCUGAUGCCCUUCUGACAUUUCGUUGACAAGAUACGACACUCGCGUGUCACGAUACCAUUCUACCUAUUAUACUAUUAUUUUUUAAUAUAAAUUGUCCUAGUAUAUCAUUGAACUAUAACGCUUGGUAUCUAAAGAUCUAUCUAACAAGGAAAUCAAUGAUCUAACAUUGAAUUGUAUGUAAAUAGAAAAUAAUUGCAUUGUAGUAGUUAUGAAUUAGCAACAGGUUUCUGUUAUUUUUAAGUUCUAAAUUUAUGCGAGACACGCUAAUAAGGAAAACGGCUCGCUUAAAAACAGAUGAAUGAAUGGAAAAAGAAUAAAAACAAUAUUGUUAUGUCUGAACAAAAGAAGAGAAUUUUAAUUUGUAAAAGAGCUUCUAUUUCGCUCAUCAAGAUGUUCUUAUUUCUUUUUCUAGGUCAAUGUUUAACGAGGUAUAAAAGUGCAAACGUUACGAAAGUGAUCGCUGAUUCACCAAAAAUUCGAGGCAUAUUAAUUCUAAACGAGAACUUGUGGUCGCAAACGACGCAAGCAAAUACAUUUCAACCUGACAUUUUCGUGUCGACAUUUGUCUGUGACAUUUAAGACUUCUGGGAAUUCGUUCACCAUAAAUUUGUUGCUAACUCAUUGCCACAUCUAUCAUUUCUAUUACCAUUACAUCCAUUUUCUGAUCAAGAUUAAAUUGUGGUCCUUACUAAAAAGUUGGUAUCAAACAGAAGAAUUAUUUGAUGUUAAAUUUGUUAAUUGCAAUUUAUUGCAGACAUUCACUGCUGUUAUUAUGUCAGCAAAAUAGCAUCAGCGUAACGCCUAACGUUGCAUGUACUCGCGUGUCUCAUCCCGCAUACCUAAACGAAGACGCAAGGAAUUACAUGUCGUAAAACGAACUUGAACUUACCCAUGCUGGUGAAUGCGUUUUGCACGGGUAACAACACCUGUUGAUCCACGCGAGACGGCGUCUCUUGGUUGACUGAGAUUGCAGGCGGCUUCUCGUACUCUCCUGAAAGAGUGAGUGCCGUUAUGUUAUACAGGAUGUAUCAAAAACGUUGGCCAUAACAGUAUCAACGUAUUACAAAAAGAACAAAGAAUCUGAAGAAAAAAAGAAGCAUGCACAUUUAACUUUCUCCUUUUGCAAAGUGAAUUCAAGUCGCAAUGCUUGGUGGGAAGAAAAACCAAGUAUUAGAAACACUUGUACCCUGUAGAUCCUACAAUUGUAUUUUAUAACACUUAACAUUUUUUUAAAAUAUUCAUUUCAUCAUCAUUUGUAAUUGUACAGCUAGAAUUUUGGAUAGUAUGAAGAUAAAUUGGAGUGGGUGUUAGGUGGGCAGACGACCUCGUCCUUCCAUAUUCAGAUUGGAUAGUGUCAUCAAUUUAUAGUGGGCUCCGAAGGACUUUCUUCUAAUUAAGUAGAACAGAAACAGCAACAAACUAUAUAUUGGCAGCCUACAAAAAAUAUGAGGUACGUUAAAUAAAUGCAAUAAAUAUAUUCAUAUUUA